rnacentral:rRNA from 1 species
UACGUAGGGGGGCAAGCGUUUGUCCGGAAUCAUUGGGCGUAAAGCGCGUGUAGGCGGUCCGGUAAGUCCGCUGUGAAAGUCGGGGGGCUCAACCCUCGGAUGCCGGUGGAUACUGUCGGGCUUGAGUACGGAAGAGGCGAGUGGAAUUCCCGGUGUAGCGGUGAAAUGCGCAGAUAUCGGGAGGAACACCAGUAGCGAAGGCGGCACUCUGGGCCGGUACUGACGCUGAGGAGCGAAAGCGUGGGGAGCAAACAGG